AAACCAACAGGGAUUGCCUUAGUAACUGCGAGUGAAGCGGCAAGAGCUCAAAUUUGAAAUCUGGCACCUUCGGUGUCCGAGUUGUAAUUUGUAGAAGCAACUUUUUGAAUUGGUCCUUGCAUAUGUUCCUUGGAACAGGACAUCAUAGAGGGUGAGAAUCCCGUUCAUGGUGGGGAUCCGGUUCUUUGUAAAGUGCUUUCGAAGAGUCGAGUUGUUUGGGAAUGCAGCUCUAAGUGGGUGGUAAAUUCCAUCUAAAGCUAAAUAUUGGCGAGAGACCGAUAGCGAACAAGUACAGUGAUGGAAAGAUGAAAAGAACUCCGAAAGGAGAGUGAAAAAGGACGUGAAAUUGUUGAAAGGGAAGUGCUUGAGAUCAGUCUUAAAUUUUAGUGAUCAGUCUUCCUUUUGGUUGGUGCACUCACUAUUCUUUAGGCCAACAUCAGUUUUGGCGGCAGGAUAAUGACAUUGGAAUGUGGCUCUUUCGAGAGUGUUAUAGCCUUUGUUGAUACUGCCUGCUUAGACUGAGGACUGCGCUUUUGCUAGGAUGU
rnacentral:rRNA from 1 species